UGUCAGUGUCGGAAAGAAUGACCCGACUUGACCCAGAUAUGAGACAGCCGAAACCAGGAAUGACAAGAGAACCGGCGUUACAGUUUAAUCCGGACAACAAGUUUAAUGAACAUCGUUUGUGAUUUGAGACAAGUGUGGCUGAUGGGAAACAUGUGCAUGUGGGAUUUUAGGAGGACUUGUCAAACGCGCUUGUGGAGUGGACAGUCAGAUGACGGGAGUUUGUUGAUAUUUUGAUGUGAUUCAUAAUGGUCGAAUACCUGUCGAUAGACUAACACGGUAUCUGGAGACUUAGUGACAAGCUGUCCGCAUUCACGGAGUUCAUUUAGUUCAAUGUCGGACACAGGAUCACCUCGCUGGGUUAUCGAUGUCAUCAUCGUUCACAAAGGCAAACCUGUCUAUACAAAGUCCGGUUUUGGGGAUUCGUGUGGUCGAAAGAUUUGCCAAACAGCAAGUCCUCUAACACAGACGCAAAUCCGGACUUGGUGGUGUUGAUUUUUAGCGCACUAGAAACAGUUUCUGGCAACAUCACAAUCUGAAUCUUGGAACUUCAAUCUGGCCAUAUGCAGUUUUGACAACAAAGACAUUAAAUGUGUUCAGAGGUUGAAUUAUGCGAAUAACUCUUCCUGUCAGAUCUCCGUCUACUUUAACGAGGUCAUUUAGUUUGACAGGUGUCAAAUGGUCAGCCAUGUUUGUUUACAAACAAUGCAGUUUUGUUUUUUGUAAUUACGCUUAUUGUAAACUAAAACUCGUGCGAAAUAAAUGCUUUAUUCAU
rnacentral:lncRNA from 1 species